GAUAAAGGUGUCGGCGGCAACGCGGCCACGCCACCGUGCUCGGAGCGGGCGACUGGGCAGGACGGGACAGAGCGGUGCUGUGAGGAGCCUCCUCGCAGCCAACUCCUUUCUCGUCGACCAGGAGCGUUUUCGAGAGUUCUUUUUUCAUCAACUUCCCUCGAGGCCACAGCACAGGAGUUGGGGACCCGGAGCGUUUCUGAGGUGACCCCACUCCCUGUGGGAGUGGCCCUCGAGGCCAGGCCACGGGCCUUGGUGACCCGGAGCUUUUCCGAGGAGUCACCAGUGGCUGUGGCAGUGGCCCUUGAGGCCAUUUUGUGAGACUUUGCCACCAGGGGCUGUUCCAAGCCAUCCCCAGCCCCUGUGGCAGGAGCCCCGCAGGCCAUUGUGUCACACUUGGCCGCCAGGGGUUUUUCCCAGGUUUCUCCCCCGCAGGUGCCCUCCAGACCAGACUGUGCCAUGGCGGGGGGAUGCUUCGGCCUGUGCCGGCUGCUCCGGAGGAAGAGGAAGAACAGGAGAGGCCCUGGAGCUGGCCCAGCACAGGAAGCAGAGGAGGAGGUGCAGCACUUCCAGCCACUGCAGCAGGAUCCAGGCCGGGACCGCCCAGAAGAGCAGGACCGCGCCCGUGGCCGCUUGCGCAGGGCAGUUCAGGUACCUGCAGCCAUCCCCCCCUGGGCUGGGCCUGCUGUCCCUGCUCCGCCUGGCACCGCUGUCAGAGCACUCCAUGCCACUUCCCUCUCUUCCCUGCCCUUUCUUCUCCUGCAGAGGUUGCUGAAAUUCAUGGGUCUUCGGCGCAGAACAGCCACGACCGCACCGCCCGAGCUCCCGGCACAGUCUGACACCAGCGCAGCCGAGCUCGAGGCGGAGCCGGAUGUCAGCACUGCACCGAGGGACUGUGCAGCCAGCGGUGACAUGGCACCAACUCAUGUCACAGCAACCUUGGACACGGCAGCAAUUGAUGGCACAGAAACCACCGACAUGGCAGCCAUUGAUUGCGCAGCCACCGGUGACACGGCACCGGUUAUUGGCACAGACAGCGCUGAGAUGGCACAGCUCGAGGGCACAGCAACCACUGACACGGCAGCGCAAGCCCCCGCGCCG
rnacentral:lncRNA from 1 species